AGAGGCCAACUGUCAUUCUUGCUUCUUGCCUCAUUCUUGCCUCAGGAUGUUGUUUUAGUUUCUCUCAGAGUGUAUGUUAUUGUGUUACAGUUUUUAUUAUUAAAGCUUUGUUUGACAUAUACGUGAGCCGCUUACUUUGCUGAAAGAAAAGAAACUCUGCUGAAGAAUGGUGGCAUAUCCUAAACUGCGUGACUGAGGGGAUAUUCCCAGUCUGGCAGGAGGAUUGAAUUUUUAAAUUCCCCCCCCCCCACCGUCCACAACACUAAGUGCUGCAGGCUUCUCAUCCUUUAAGGCCUUCUGUGUCAAGAAGACUCACUGUCCACAUGAAUGUUGGGAGAGAAAGUUACCCUAUGAAGAUUCUUCCAAAGCAACCAGCUGAAGUGUUCCUCUGACUUCUGGACCACAUGGCCUUAGAUAUGCAUACCAAAAGACAUUAUUCUCAUUUGUGGAAAGAUAAACCCAUUGACCCUGAAAAUAGAUCUCUUACUUCUGGCCCACAUUCAUAAUCCAAUUAUUCUUGAUCAGCGAAAUAAAGCUGGCAGAAGUGAAAUUCUAUACAACAGAGAUGGCCAAAGAGCACCUGCACAAAAUUUACUCUCCUCCCCCACAAUCAGUGCCCUUAGCGAAUUUUAAUGUAUGUGUGGGGUUGUUUUUUUAAUGCUUCUGUUUUCUUUAUUUCAUUUUUGCUUUGUUUUUGUUUUUGUUAGCUAUUAGCUUGGGUGGUUUGCAUCUGGAAGUUUACAAAAUAUUGCAGAGGAGACCACAUUUAAGCUGAACUUGACCCCAUAAGAUCUACUAACAUCAUACUUAAUUAUGCCCAAGACAUCUAAAUAAGUGGUUAAAAAAAAUCCCAGGGGGAUUCAUUCAGUGCUCUCAUGUGCACUGCAUUUCAUGGUAUGUUACAAGUUUAAACAAAACCAUAUUCCAUAACAUACUGUGCUGACAUCUUUCUUCAGACUGGGUACUUUGGCCUGGGAGCCAUUAGUUCCAGUUUCCCUACUGAACGGUGUUUGUGUUCUUGCACAUUUCCCCUACUCACCAUGAUUUCACAUUCUUCCUUUGAUUCCUUCAGGAUUCAAAGUGUUGUGCCGGACAGACAUUUUUAUUUUACUGGGGUUGGG